CUCACUUUCCCCUUGGGGAGUAGGAACCGAUGCCAGUGGGAGGGAUGUGCCCCUGACCAUUAACGACUGCCUUUCUUUUUUUUUUUUUUUUUUAAGAAUGAAGCUGUUAGGGAGGGAAAUGCACACAAUGUGAAACAGACAAAAUGCAUUUCACUUGUAGUGUAAAGUGGCCACUAUGAAUCCCUAUAUAUAAGAGGAGGCUGGCUGCAGCUUCAGUCACAGAAUGGGGACUGUGGAAGAUGGAGCAGGGGCUGAUUUUCUCUGCACAUUUUGGCUGUUAGACCUGUGUGUAUGGGUUUAAAAAACCAGAAGUCAGUGCUCACUUUUUGUAUUUAAAUAUUAAAAAUGAUUCCAA